rnacentral:rRNA from 1 species
UACAGAGGUCCCAAGCGUUGUUCGGAUUCACUGGGCGUAAAGGGUGCGUAGGUGGCGGGGUAAGUUUGAUGUGAAAUCUCUGAGCUUAACUCGGAAACUGCAUUGAAUACUAUCUUGCUGGAGGGUUGGAAGGGGGACUGGAAUUCUUGGUGUAGCAGUGAAAUGCGUAGAUAUCAAGAGGAACACCAGUGGCGAAGGCGAGUCCCUGGACAACACCUGACACUGAGGCGCGAAAGCUAGGGUAGCAAACGGG